rnacentral:rRNA from 1 species
AUUGAACGCUGGCGGCAGGCUUAACACAUGCAAGUCGAGCGGGGGAAGGUAGCUUGCUACCGGACCUAGCGGCGGACGGGUGAGUAAUGCUUAGGAAUCUGCCUAUUAGUGGGGGACAACAUCUCGAAAGGGAUGCUAAUACCGCAUCCGUCCUACGGGAGAAAGCAGGGGAUCUUCGGACCUUGCGCUAAUAGCUGAGCCUAAGUCGGCUUAGCUAGUUGGUGGGGUAAAGGCCUACCAAGGCGAAGAUCUGUAGCGGGUCUGAGAGGAUGAUCCGCCACACUGGGACUGAGACACGGCCCAGACUCCUACGGGAGGCAGCAGUGGGGAAUAUUGGACAAUGGGGGGAACCCUGAUCCAGCCAUGCCGCGUGUGUGAAGAAGGCCUUAUGGUUGUAAAGCACUUUAAGCGAGGAGGAGGCUACUUUAGUUAAUACCUAGAGAUAGUGGACGUUACUCGCAGAAUAAGCACCGGCUAACUCUGUGCCAGCCGCCGCCGUAA